GUUGAUACGUUGGAAGAUUUAAGCAUGGAUGCGGAUUCUGAAACUUCAUCAAAAGCGACUUCUUUUCUGCGAUCGAUUAUUGCCAGCGACUUUAUCGUAAGCUUGUGUUGCUUAGGCAUUCUAUUUUCAUACACAUUGGGUGCUUUCCAAUUGCAAUAUCCCUAGACACUUUCGUGCACACGGCGACACAAAUGGCGUUCCAAUUGUCACAAAUGUCGACACACCUCUUCACAUUCGUACUCAGCCUGAGGGCUACUAGUCGGCUGUGUAAACUUGUGUUUUUUAGUGACAAAUAAUAGUUACUAAGUACGGCGGCUACAAGUGGUCGGCAUAUUCCUUCGCUACGACGGUUUACUAUAUAAAAGGGAAAAAAAGAAGUGAGGUUACGUCUGAUAUCAUUCUGGCGCAUAAGUAAUACCGAAGUGGGAGGAGGAAAAUACGCAAGUGACGCAGUUUCGAUCACCACCAUGGAUUAAAAAUACCAAGCAUGGAUAGUAUACUACUUUGUGUACUCUUUGUGGUAUAUUUUGUUCCAAUUGAGUCGUGCACAUCGCGACACUUUGUGUCUUCUUGUGUACGUUUGUGUUAAAAAGUGUAAAAUAAUUGGAAAGCA